GCACUGGUAGCUCAACUGGAUAGAGCAUCUGACUACGAAUCAGAAGGUUGCAGGUUCGAAUCCUGCUCGGUGCACCA
rnacentral:tRNA from 1 species